rnacentral:snRNA from 1 species
AGCUCUGUGCAGUGUCAGUAUCCUAGCCUAUGAGGUAAAACUGAGGCGUGAUUAUUGCUAAUUGAAACUUUUAGCCUUUCUUCUAGUUUUCUAAAUACAUUCUCAACAGCAUCCCAGUUGUCUUUGUGAAUCUAAUAAUGUGGCCUUUCUUUCAGACUAAAGGCUUACCGUGGAAUGAUAGAA